rnacentral:rRNA from 1 species
GUGUCAGCAGCCGCGGUAAUACGGGGGGGGCAAGCGUUGUUCGGAAUUACUGGGCGUAAAGGGCUCGUAGGCGGCCAACUAAGUCCGACGUGAAAUCCCCAGGCUUAACCUGGGAACUGCGUCGGAUACUGGAUGGCUUGAAUUCGGGAGAGGGAUGCAGAAUUCCAGGUGUAGCGGUGAAAUGCGUAGAUAUCUGGAGGAAUACCGGUGGCGAAGGCGGCAUCCUGGACCGACAUUGACGCUGAUGAGCGAAAGCUAGGGGAGCAAACGGGAUUAGAUACCCUUGUAGUCC